rnacentral:rRNA from 1 species
AUGGCGAUGGCGUGCAGGGGCGGCCUGGCGGCGGCGGGGGACACGGGGAGCCCGGGCGCGCGUCUGGCGGCGGCGGGGGAGGAGGAGGCGGGGGCGGGGAAGGUGAAGCUGCUGUGCAGCUACGGGGGGCGGAUCGCGCCGAGGUCGGGGGACGGGGCGCUGCGCUACGUGGGCGGCCAGAUGCGCCUCAUCUCCGUGCCCCGCGCCGCCUCCUUCGGGGACCUCGUGCGCAAGGUCGAGGCCGUCGACGAGUCCGCCGCCGCCGGACCCGCCGGCGGCGGGGGGAUGCUCGUCAAGUACCAGCUCCCCGGGGAGGACCUGGACUCGCUCGUCUCGGUGUCCUGCGCCGAGGACUACGACAACAUGCUGGAGGAGUACGAGAAGCUGGCCGCCGCCGCGCCCGACGGCUCCGCCAAGCUGCGGGUCUUCCUCUUCCCGGCCUCCGGGGCCGAGCCGUCCGCCUCCGGCUCCGGCUCGCACCUCCCCGCCGCCGCCGCCGUCGACGAGGCCGGGCAGCGCUACAUCGACGCCAUCAACUGCGUCUCCGCGGACGCCGUCCGCCGCAGGGAGAGCGUCGCCAGCGGCGGCUCCUCCGAGGCCUCCGAGCCCGCCGGCCUCGCCGAAGGUAUGUCGCCGCGGGCCGUGCCGCCCCCUUCCGUCCCGCCUGAAUAUUUGUAUUCGGCCGGGAGCCACACCAACCAUGCUACUAGUCCCUUUCCCCAGUCACUAGGAUUUUGUGCUGUCGCCGCGUCAGCUCCGGCAAUGGGCAUUCCGGCGCACAACCCCGUGUUGCUUAGGCCGGAGCCACAACCGCUGCAGCCUCAUCAGGUCGCCUCCUAUGCGCCGCCGCAUCAACCGGCUCCAGUUGCCUCUUAUGCACAGCAUCAGCAGCCGGCUCAACAGGUUGCCUCUUACGCGCCGCCACUGCAGCCUCAGGUUGCCUCCUCUUAUGCGCCGCCGCCGCCGCAGCCUCAAGUUGCUUCUUAUGCGCCGCCGCAGCAGCUGCCUCAGCAAUUUGGUCUGCAUGGUGUAUCUCAAUCCGCUAAUCUGAUGCAUGCGCACAUGAGCCAGUAUGUGCCCAGUACUCUGGGAACAAACUCCAUGGCGACCACGGGUGCCCAAAUUGGUGCUUUGAGGCCUGUUUCUGCAGGUACAGAACGUGUUCUGGAGAAUCUUCAUUUCUCACGGCCAAUGCAAACUCCAGUUGAUCCGAAUUGCAGGGUGCUGCAGCCACUUUCAGAGCUUCCUCCUCUGCCUCAUACGACUUUGCAGGCAAGUGAUGCUCAGAGGUAUGGCGUCCAGACGGUACUCACAAGCACAGCAAGCUCACCAGUGAUAACGAGCUCAAGGGCAUUCCCAGUGGUGGUGAGCUCGGCUACCGUGCCAACACUGAGGUACGAUGAUUGCACGAUGUGCCAGAAAAUACUGCCGCAUGCCCAUUCGGAUAACAUGAUACAGGAACAGGGAAAUCCUGGCGCAGUGAAUUAUCCUGAUGCUAGUCCAGUGUUUUACAGCAUCCAUCAAGAGAAUGCAACCAAACAACAGGUUCCAGCUGCAAUUCCAGUAUCACCUGCUAAUUACAUAGCAGAACCAAGAGCCGAGAGCACAGCAGGGAUGGCCCAGUUUGAUCCAAAACUUUCUGCUAGACAUCCUGCAGUUCAAGCAGCACCAUCUCAAGAUGCAGGAACGUUGGUUCAACCAACCAUGGUUACUGUACCUGUUUCCAGUAUACCUACUUCAAAUGGAGUUUUUGUAGGGCAGCCUCCACACGCGCUUGCUGAAGAUUUUCUCAUGUAUCAACGUCAGCAGCAACACCCUUACAGUAUGCAAACAACUCAAGUCCUGGCAAAUGGAGUCAGUAGCAAUCCACAAGGGAUUGAUGCAUUUAAGAAUUCAAAUCAUCCAGUAGCAGAACCAAUUGGAGAAUAUGCCCAUGAUGUUCCUCAUGAUUAUGUCAGAGCUAUCGAUGCUCGGAUGCAAGGAAUUCAGUUAGGUCCUAUUGCUCCUCCAGAAUCUAUUGUGCAAGGGAACUCGGCUAUUCCCCAUGGUGCUGUUGGCGAUGGGAUAGUUGAGAAGCCACCUGUUAUUAUUGAUGGCAGUCCCAUAUACAAAUCUCAAGCUGGAGGUUAUCACAUGGGCACUAGCAAUGCUUUUCCUGUUCCUUCUUUUAUCCUAGAGGACAAUGUUGUGAGACAUACUGAACAGCCACCUCCCUCUCGAAAUGUUGGUGCCAACGAUGUCUAUCCUGAGAUUGUCCAGCAGCCAAGUAUGUUACUCAAGAACAACCUUGGUUUGCCCAUUGAACAUCCUGUUCCGAGCGAAAGAUUUCUUUUGAGGCCUGCUUACUCUGGUGUUCAGUCUCCUGCUGGACCUCCUGCACAUCAUCCCGGGGAAAUGCUGAAUGGCAUGGUUUCCGCUCCCUAUAAUGUUAGUAGUCAAGUUGUAUUGCAGGCUGCUGCUAGUACUGAUUGUGUCGAAGCUACACAUGAACCAGCUUACACAGAAUCUCUUUUCUCAAACCAGGAUCCUUGGAAAGCAAUUGGAAAUGCUUCGGCAGUACCUCCAACAUCAAACAUGUUGGCUAAGGAACAUGUUCUUUCUGGAGAUCCAUAUGUGGAUGGCCAUAUUCCUGCAAUUACAAGUUCGAAUGCUGCUAUGCUAUUAGAAGAAGGCAAUCUUCCACUCAUUCAUGACCCUACUUUCAAGGAUAUAUACCCAGAACCUGCUCAAAUAAGCAAAGGAUAUGGAGAAGAAAUUGUCAAACGGCAAUUACAAGCUGUCGCGGAAGGUGUGGCAGCAUCUGUUCUGCAGUCACCAUUUCCUGAAAAACCAACUGAAUUUUCUGGGGAUCACAAAGAUUUGCCUGGAGAUGUAGUUGAUCCAAAAAAUGAGGAUGCGCCGAGCAAACAGUCAGACAAAACAAGCCAAGGAGUUCCAGUUCUAGAUGACAUCGAUAACCUUCAGAUAAUAAAGAACAGUGAUCUUGAAGAAUUGCGUGAACUAGGUUCUGGAACCUUUGGUACUGUUUACCAUGGAAAAUGGAGAGGUUCUGAUGUCGCUAUAAAAAGGAUAAGCGAUCGAUGUUUUGUUGGGAAACCUUCUGAGGAACAGCGCAUGAAAACCGAUUUCUGGAAUGAAGCUUGCAAGCUUUCAUCGUUGCACCAUCCAAAUGUCGUUGCUUUUUACGGUGUUGUUCUGGAUGGACCAGGUGGAUCUGUUGCAACAGUCACCGAGUACAUGGCUAAUGGUUCGCUUCGACAAGCAUUACAAAGACAUGAAAAGAUAUUCGACAGGCGUAGGCGUCUACUAAUUGUGAUGGAUGUUGCAUUUGGUAUGGAAUAUUUGCACGGGAGGAACAUUGUGCACUUCGACUUGAAGAGUGAUAAUCUGCUCGUCAAUCUAAGAGAUCCCCAACGCCCUAUAUGCAAGGUCGGUGAUUUGGGCUUAUCAAAGGUUAAAUGCCAGACACUGAUCUCUGGUGGAGUGCGAGGAACACUUCCCUGGAUGGCUCCUGAGCUGUUAAAUGGCAGCAGUAACCUUGUUUCUGAAAAGGUUGACGUCUUCUCAUUCGGAAUCGUGAUGUGGGAGCUGCUUACCGGUGAAGAGCCUUACGCCGACCUGCAUUACGGCGCCAUCAUAGGUGGGAUCGUGAACAACACCCUGCGGCCUCUGGUGCCCGAGUCGUGCGACCCCCAGUGGAGAUCGCUGAUGGAGCAGUGCUGGUCGGCCGAGCCGACGGAGCGGCCGAGCUUCACGGAGGUCGUCAAGAGGCUACGGGCCAUGGCGACCUCCCCCACCAAGGCGCCGCCGCAGAAGUAG